rnacentral:ncRNA from 1 species
CAUACGGGGAGCUUAUAUGCUAGGCUGAGAGGAAGUUUGGAACUUCGACCCAUGAACCUGAUUUGGAUAAUGCCAACGUAGGAAUGUAUA